rnacentral:ncRNA from 2 species
AGUAACCACAGGGGGAGUCCUAUAAAUGGGCUGAGAGGGGAGUGUACUCCCGACCCUUUGAACCUGAAGCUGGAUAAUGCCUGCGUAGGGAUGUGGAGUCGUACUUUU